rnacentral:lncRNA from 1 species
CCGCACCUCUUUCCCCAAGCUGGAGCCGAUCUUCACCAUGUGCUCUUCGUUCCCAUUAUUCAAAGGAAUUGAGACAAGAUCUUCCAUUGGCCCACCCCAUUCUUCAGUCAGGUCGUCACGGGUGUCCAAUCCAUCAACCGGACAGGGGUCAGGCUGACCACUUCUUUACAGGGCUAUAUUAUAGCAAUGCCUUGCCAGGGCUU